UAAGGAAUAUUGCUCAAUGGGAGAAAUCCUGAAGCAGCAACGCCGCGUGGAGGAUGAAGGGUCUAUAACUUGUAAACUCCUGUAAAGAAGGAAAAAAUUCCCAUUUGAUGGGAGAUGAUGGUACUUCUGGAGUAAGCCCCGGCUAACUACGUGCCAGCAGCCGCGGUAAUACGUAGGGGGCAAGCGUUGUCCGGAUUUACUGGGUGUAAAGGGUGCUCAGGCGGAUUUGUAAGUCAGAGGUGAAAUCUUACAGCUUAACUGUGAAACUGCCUUUGAUACUGCAAGCCUAGGGUAUGGAAGAGAGUGAUGGAAUAUCUGGUGUAGCAGUGAAAUGCGUAGAUAUCAGAUAGAACAACAAUGGCGAAGGCAGUCACUUGGUCCAUUACUGACGCUAAAGCACGAAAGCGUGGGUAGCAAAC
rnacentral:rRNA from 1 species